UUUCCAUUACCAAUUGAAGCAAAGCGAGAAAGCUUCUCUCACUGGACCACCAGAGAAUACCCGUGAACAUGUUGUCGCCGCAUCGAAAGCAAUGUUGAAUGGAGAUUGGAAAAAGUGUCAAGACUAUAUCGUCAAUGACAAGAUGAACCAGAAGG
rnacentral:sRNA from 1 species